GACGAACGCUGGCGGCGUGCUUAACACAUGCAAGUCGAACGGAAAGGCCCUGCUUUUGCGGGGUGCUCGAGUGGCGAACGGGUGAGUAACACGUGAGUAACCUGCCCUUGACUUUGGGAUAACUUCAGGAAACUGGGGCUAAUAACGGAUAGGAGCUCCUGCUGCAUGGUGGGGGUUGGAAAGUUUCGGCGGUUGGGGAUGGACUCGCGGCUUAUCAGCUUGUUGGUGGGGUAGUGGCUUACCAAGGCUUUGACGGGUAGCCGGCCUGAGAGGGUGACCGGCCACAUUGGGACUGAGAUGCGGCCCAGACUCCUACGGGAGGCAGCAGUGGGGAAUAUUGCACAAUGGGCGGAAGCCCGAUGCAGCAACGCCGCGUGCGGGAUGACGGCCUUCGGGUUGUAAACCGCUUUCGCCUGUGACGAAGCGUGAGUGACGGUAAUGUGUAAAGAAGCACCGGCUAACUACGUG
rnacentral:rRNA from 1 species